GAUGAACGCUGGCGGCGUGCUUAACACAUGCAAGUCGAGCGAAGCGAUUUUAAGGAAGUUUUCGGACGGAAUUAAAACCGACUUAGCGGCGGACGGGUGAGUAACGCGUGGGUAACCUGCCUCAUACAGGGGGAUAACAGUUAGAAAUGACUGCUAAUACCGCAUAAGCGCACAGUGCUGCAUAGCACAGUGUGAAAAACUCCGGUGGUAUGAGAUGGACCCGCGUCUGAUUAGGUAGUUGGUGAGGUAAUGGCUCACCAAGCCGACGAUCAGUAGCCGACCUGAGAGGGUGACCGGCCACAUUGGGACUGAGACACGGCCCAAACUCCUACGGGAGGCAGCAGUGGGGAAUAUUGGACAAUGGGGGAAACCCUGAUCCAGCGACGCCGCGUGAGUGAAGAAGUGUUUCGGCAUGUAAAGCUCUAUCAGCAGGGAAGAAAAUGACGGUACCUGACUAAGAAGCCCCGGCUAACUACGUGCCAGCCGCCGCAGUAACAC
rnacentral:rRNA from 1 species